rnacentral:rRNA from 13 species
AUGGAGAGUUUGAUCCUGGCUCAGGAUGAACGCUGGCGGUAUGCUUAACACAUGCAAGUCGUACGAAUACUAAAAUCUUCGGAAUUUAUUGUUAGUGGCGGACGGGUGAGUAACGCGUAAGAAUCUACCUUUAGGAAGGGGGCAACAGUUGGAAACGACUGCUAAUUCCCUAUAUGCUGAGGAGUAAAACGGUAUUAACCGCCUAAAGAUGAGCUUGCGUCUGAUUAGCUAGUUGGUAAGGUAAUGGCUUACCAAGGCGAUGAUCAGUAGCUGGUCUGAGAGGAUGAUCAGCCACACUGGGACUGAGACACGGCCCAGACUUUUUCGAAAGGCAGCAGUCCGGAAUCUUGGACAAUUGGCGAAAGCCAGAUCCAGCCAUAUUACGUGAAGGAUGAAGACUUUUUUGGUUGUAAACUUCUUUACUUUUUAAAGUUAAAGAGUAUAAAAAGCCCCGGCUAAAUCUGUGCCAGCAGCCGCGGUAAUACAGAUGGGGCAAGUGUUAUUCGGAAUGAUUGGGCGUAAAGGGUACGUAGGUGGUUUUAUUAGUCAGUUGUCACAACCUUUUUAGAAAAGAAUCGCAGCUUUAAAAGACUACAAAACUUGAGUUUGAUAGAGGAAAGCGGAAUUUUGAGUGGAGAGAUAGAAUUCAUAGAUAUUCAAAGGAACACCGAAAACGAAGGUAGCUUUCUGGGUCAACACUGACGCUCAUGUACGAAAGCAUGGGGAGUAAAUGGGAUUAGAUACCCCAGUAAUCCAUGCCGUCAACGAUGAGUGUUCACUCCAUGAUUUAUUAAAUUGUGGGGUUUAGCUAACGCGUUAAACACUCCGCCUGAGGAGUACGGUCGCAAGGCUGAAACUCAAAGGAAUUGCCGGGAGCUCGUACAAGCGGUGGAUCAUGUGGUUUAAUUCGAAACAACGCGCAAAACCUUACCAAUCCUUGUAUACAAAAACCAAUUUCUUUUUAUGAAGAUUUUUUGAAGUUUUGAACAGGUGCUGCAUGGCUGUCGUCAGCUCGUGUCGUGAGAUGUUGGGUUAAGUCCUUAUACGAGCGAAACCCCUUUUUAAGCUAUUUUUAAGAUAAGUUUAACAACUGCCAAUGAUAAAUUGGAGGAAGGAUGGGAUGAUGUCAAGUCCUCAUGGUCCUAAUGGGUUGGGCUACACACGU